rnacentral:rRNA from 1 species
CGGAUGCUGCACGCCAUCUAGUGGAUGGCUUGGCUCAAUACGCCGAUGAAGGGCGUGACAAGCUGCGAUAAUCCUGGGCGAGGCGCAAGUAGCCUUUGAACCCGGGGUGCCCGAAUGGGAUUUCCUAACCCUUGCGUAAGCAGGGGUUACUCGCAUUAGCGAGGGGGAACCCGGGGAAUUGAAACAUCUUAGUACCCGGAGGAAAAGAAAUCAAAAUGAGAUGCCGUGAGUAAAGGCGAUCGAAAGCGGCAAAGGGCAAACCGAAACAUCUGUAGAAAUACAGAUGUGAUGUGGGGCGGUAUGCCAAGUGCAAUCCCACCCGAGGAAGCCGAAGUCCCUUGGAACGGGGCGCCGUAGAGGGUGAAAGCCCCGUAGGUAUAACUCGGAGGAUUGCGGCAUACCAAGAGUAGCGUGCGUUGGAUAUCGCGCGUGAAUAUGGGAGGCAUCGACUUCCAACCCUAAAUACGUUUUGAGACCGAUAGCGGAGUAGUACCGUGAGGGAAAGUUGAAAAGUACCCUUGGCAGGGGGUGAAAAGAGCCUGAAACUAGAUGGCUAUAGCCCGCCGCAGCGUGAAAGGAUUGAGUCUCUCCGAAGGAACCCAUUGUGAAGUGGUAGUACGAGGAGAGAGGACCAGCGUUGCGGCAUCCGUUUUGAAGAACGGGGCGGGGAGUCUAUGGUUAUGGCGAGACUAAGGGGUUAACCCGGAGUCGUAGCGAAAGCGACAGGUCCGCAGCGAAAGCGAGGGACGGGGUGUGAAAGCGCCCGGAGUCAUAGCCAUAGGACCCGAAACCAGUCGAUCUAGCCCGGGACAGGGUGAAGUCACGGGAAACUGUGAUGGAAGCCCGAACCGGUGUUGACAUGCAAAUCACUCGGGUGAUCCUGGGCUAGGGGCGAAAGACCAAUCAAGACUGGUGUCAGCUGGUUCCUCCCGAAAUGUCUCGCAGGACAGCCUGGCCAGAGGUUGAUGGUGGUUUAGAGCACUGAUUGGGUAUUUAGGGGGCGAAAGCCCUCGGUAUCCUGUCAAACUCCGAAGCCUCCAUCGCCGUAGAAGGCCAGAGUGAGGGUAUGGGGGUAAGCUCCAUAUCCGAAAGGGGAAUAACCCUGACUGGGGUUAAGGCCCGUAAAUGCUAGCUAAGUGCUAAAUAUGAAGGGAGUCCUCGGCCUAAGACAGUGGGGAGGUAGGCUUAGAAGCAGCCACCCUUUAAAGAGUUCGUAACAGAUCACCCACCGAGGUCUAGGGCCCCGAAAAUCGACAGGGUUAAGCUAGCUGCCGAUACCCCAGCGGUCCGAGAGGAUAGCGUGUAGGGAGGCGUCCUGUUCGGGCAGAAGGAGGGCGGUAACGUCCUCUGGACCGAAUGGGAUUGAGAAUCCCGCCAGUAGUAGCAGCAAAGAACGGUGAGAAUCCGUUCCGCCGAAAGGGCGAGGUUUCCUCAGCAAUGUUCGUCAGCUGAGGGUUAGUCGGUCCUAAGGGCAUGCGUAACUCGACAUGCUCGAAAGGGAAACAGGUUAAAAUUCCUGUACCACAGAGGUACGCGCGGCGACGCUAAGUCCGUUCCUGACCCUUCGGGGUAGGCCGAGUUGGAUUGUCGUCCAAUUUAAGCGUUUAAGUCUGGGGAGAAUCGUAAUGAUGAGAACCAGACGAAGGCGCGAAUAGGCUUCCGUUAGGAGGCUUCGGCUGAGCCCUGGAGGCCGUGAAAAAGGAGCGGAAAGGAUCCUCUGUGACCGUACUUAGAACCGACACAGGUGCCCCUGGGUGAGAAGCCUAAGGCGUGUCGGAUCAAAUCAGUCAAGGGAAUUCGGCAAAUUGGCCCCGUAUCUUCGGUAGAAGGGGUGCCAGCCCUGCGUAGGGGCUGGUCGCAGUGACUAGGGGGCUCCGACUGUUUAAUAAAAACAUAGGCAACAGCUAGCCCGAAAGGGUGUGUACUGUUGCUAACUCCUGCCCAGUGGCGGUAAGUUAAAGCCGGGUUCAACCGGCCUAAGCUCCGCUAAACGGCGGGGGUAACUAUAACCCUCUUAAGGUAGCGUAAUACCUUGUCGCUUAAUUGGCGACUUGCAUGAAUGGAUGAACGAGAGCCCCGCUGUCCCUGACUGAUAUCCGGUGAACCUGUUGUGCUGGUGAACAGACCAGCGACUCCCAACGGGUAAAGAAGACCCUGUGGAGCUUUACUACAGCCUGCCGUUGUGACAUUGGCGCAGAUGUAGAGCGUAGGUGGGAGCCAUCGAAGCCUUGGCGCCAGCUGAGGUGGAGGCAUCAAUGGAACACCACCCGUCUGUGUUAAUGCCACUAACUGCUUCGGCAGGACAUCGGUAGGUGGGUAGUUUGGCUGGGGCGGCACCCCCCUGAAAAAAUAUCAGGGGGGCUCUAAGGUUGGCUCAACCGGGUCAGAAAUCCGGUGUAGAAUGUAAGGGUAAAAGCCAGCCUGACUGGAAUUCGCGCAGAGAGAAUUCCAGCCGCGAAAGCGUGACCUAACGAACCUCCGUGUGCUCCUCGAUGGGGCCCGGAGAUGACAGAAAAGCUACCUCAGGGAUAACUGAGUUGUCGCGGGCAAGAGUUCACAUCGACCCCGCGGCUUGCUACUUCGAUGUCGGCUCUUUCCAUCCUGGGUGUGCAGCAGCAUCCAAGGGUGGGGUUGUUCGCCCAUCAAAGGGGAUCGUGAGCUGGGUUUAGACCGUCGUGAGACAGGUUAGUUUUUAACUGUUGGGAGUGUGGGCCGCCUGAGGGAAAGGUCCAUCUAGUACGAGAGGAACGGUGGACCGCGGCCUCUGGUUUAUCAGCUGUCUGACAAGGCAUGCUGAGCAGCUACGCCGCAUGCGGAUAAGAGCUGAAGGCAUCUAAGCUCGAAACCGCUCUCGAAAAUAGGCGGCCAUUUCCUUGCAUAUAGCGGGAUCCGCGAGGAUAACGCUGCAAGGAACGAGGGCACGGGCAAAAAGACCCGGUUGAUAGGACAGGGGUGUAAGCACGAAGCUUCGGCGACGUGUUCAGCCCGCUGUUACUAAUAGCCCGAGGCGUCUGGU